rnacentral:rRNA from 1 species
GACGAACGCUGGCGGCGUGCUUAACACAUGCAAGUCGAACGGUGAAGCGCCUUCCUUUUUGGUGGGUGUGGAUGAGUGGCGAACGGGUGAGUAACACGUGAGUAACCUGCCCCCUUCUUCUGGAUAACCGCAUGAAAGUGUGGCUAAUACGGGAUAUUCUGGGUCUGUCGCAUGAUGGGUCUGGGAAAGAUAUUGUUUCGGUGGGGGAUGGGCUCGCGGCCUAUCAGCUUGUUGGUGGGGUGAUGGCCUACCAAGGCGGUGACGGGUAGCCGGCCUGAGAGGGUGGACGGUCACACUGGGACUGAGACACGGCCCAGACUCCUACGGGAGGCAGCAGUGGGGAAUAUUGCACAAUGGGCGCAAGCCUGAUACAGCGACGCCGCGUGAGGGAUGGAGGCCUUCGGGUUGUGAACCUCUUUCGCCAGUGAAGCAGGCCUGCCUCGUUUGUGGGUGGGUUGACGGUAGCUGGAUAAGGAGCGCCGGCUAACUACGUG